GAUGAAGAACGUAGCGAAAUGCGAUAAGUAAUGUGAAUUGCAGAAUUCAGUGAAUCAUCGAAUCUUUGAACGCACCUUGCGCCCUUUGGCUAUUCCGAAGGGCAUGCCUGUUUGAGUAUCAUGAACACCUCAACUCUCAUGGUUUGCCAUGAUGAGCUUGGACUCUGGGGGUCUUGCUGGCCUAUGGUCAGCUCCUCUCAAAUAAAUCAGCUUGCCAGUGUUUGGUGGCAUCACAGGUGUGAUAACUAUCUACGCUUGUGGUUUUCCAUCAAGUCACCUUCAGCGAUGGAGGUUCGCUGGGGCUCAUAAAGAAGGCCUCUCCUCGGUGAGGAUGGCUCCUUUGAACGUUUGAUCUCAAAUCAGGUAGGACUACCCGCUGAACUUAAGCAUAUCAAUAAGCGGAGGA
rnacentral:misc_RNA from 1 species